UACGAAGGGGGCUAGCGUUGCUCGGAAUUACUGGGCGUAAAGCGCACGUAGGCGGCUUCUUAAGUCGGUGGUGAAAUCCUGGAGCUCAACUCCAGAACUGCCCUUCGAUACUGGGAAGCUCGAGUCCGGGAGGAGGUGAGUAGGAACUGCGAGUGUAGAGGUGAAAUUCGUAGAUAUUCGCAAGAACACCAGUGGCGAAGG
rnacentral:rRNA from 1 species